GACUUCUACAAAACUAAGGAAG
rnacentral:snRNA from 1 species